UACGAAGGGUGCAAGCGUUACUCGGAAUUACUGGGCGUAAAGCGUGCGUAGGCGGUUUGUUAAGUCUGUCGUGAAAGCCCCGGGCUCAACCUGGGAAUGGCGAUGGAUACUGGCGAGCUAGAGUACGGUAGAGGAGAGUGGAAUUCCCGGUGUAGCAGUGAAAUGCGUAGAGAUCGGGAGGAACAUCAGUUGCGAAGGCGGCUCUCUGGACCAGUACUGACGCUGAGACACGAAAGCGUGGGGAGCAAACAGG
rnacentral:rRNA from 1 species